rnacentral:rRNA from 1 species
AUUGAACGCUGGCGGCAGGCCUAACACAUGCAAGUCGAGCGGAUGAAGGGAGCUUGCUCCUGGAUUCAGCGGCGGACGGGUGAGUAAUGCCUAGGAAUCUGCCUGGUAGUGGGGGAUAACGUCCGGAAACGGGCGCUAAUACCGCAUACUUCCUGAGGGAGAAAGUGGGGGAUCUUCGGACCUCACGCUAUCAGAUGAGCCUAGGUCGGAUUAGCUAGUUGGUGGGGUAAAGGCCUACCAAGGCGACGAUCCGUAACUGGUCUGAGAGGAUGAUCAGUCACACUGGAACUGAGACACGGUCCAGACUCCUACGGGAGGCAGCAGUGGGGAAUAUUGGACAAUGGGCGAAAGCCUGAUCCAGCCAUGCCGCGUGUGUGAAGAAGGUCUUCCGAUUGUAAAGCACUUUAAGUUGGGAGGAAGGGCAGUAAGUUAAUACCUUGCUGUUUUGACGUUACCAACAGAAUAAGCACCGGCUAACUUCGUG